rnacentral:rRNA from 1 species
UACGGAGGGGGCUAGCGUUGUUCGGAAUUACUGGGCGUAAAGCGCGCGUAGGCGGAUUGUUAAGUCGGGGGUGAAAUCCCGGGGCUCAACCCCGGAACUGCCUUCGAUACUGGCAAUCUGGAGUUCGAGAGAGGUGAGCGGAAUUCCGAGUGUAGAGGUGAAAUUCGUAGAUAUUCGGAGGAACACCAGUGGCGAAGGCGGCUCACUGGCUCGAUACUGACGCUGGGGUGCGAAAGCCUGGGGAGCAAACACG